rnacentral:rRNA from 1 species
UACGAGGGGGGCGAGCGUUGUUCGGAAUUAUUGGGCGUAAAGGGUGCGUAGGCGGUUUGGUAAGUCUUAUGUGAAAUCUAUGGGCUCAACUCAUAGUCUGCAUGAGAAACUGCCGGGCUUGAGUGUGGGAGAGGUGAGUGGAAUUCCUGGUGUAGCGGUGAAAUGCGUAGAUAUCAGGAGGAACACCUGUGGCGAAAGCGGCUCACUGGACCAUAACUGACGCUGAUGCACGAAAGCUAGGGGAGCAAACAGG